rnacentral:rRNA from 1 species
AACGAACGCUGGCGGCGUGCUUAACACAUGCAAGUCGAACGGCAACGCCCCUUUAGGUGUCCUCGAGUGGCGGACGGGGGAGUAACACGGGAGUAACCUGCCCUUUCCUUCUGGAUAACGUCAGGAACCUGGGGCUAAUACCGCUUAUGCAUCCUUGCUCCAUGGGGGGGGAUGGAAAGCUUCGGCGGUUUUGGAUGGACUAGCGGCGUAUCGGCUUGUUGGUGGGGUAGUGGCUUACCGAGGCGUUGACGGGUAGCCGGCCUGAGAGGGUGACCGGCCACAUUGGGACUGAGAUGCGGCACAGACGCCGACGGGAGGCAGCAGUGGGGAAUAUUGCACAAUGGGCAGAAGCCUGAUGCAGCAACGCCGCGUGCGGGAUGACGGCCUUCUGGUUGUAAACCGCUUUCAGCAGGGGCGAAGCUUGUGGUGACGGUACCUGAAGAAGAAGCACCGGCUAACUACGUG